rnacentral:rRNA from 1 species
AUUCCAGCUCCAAUAGCGUAUAUUAAUGUUGUUGCAGUUAAAAAGCUCGUAGUUGGAUUCCUGGCACGGGGUAGCCGGUCCGCCUUGCAAAAGGUGCGCACUGAGCGGCCUCGGCCAUCCUUGCGAUGGUCUAUCCUGGCAUUCAGUUGUCGGGGUGGGGAUUCGCGACGUUUACUGUGAAAAAAUCAGAGUGUUCAACGCAGGCUUACGCCUUGAAUACAUUAGCAUGGAAUAAUGAGAUAGGACCUUGGCGGUCUAUUUUGUUGGUUUGCACGCCGAGGUAAUGAUUAAAAGGGACGGUUGGGGUUCUUCGUAUUCAAUUGUCAGAGGUGAAAUUCUUGGAUUUAUGGAAGACGAACUGCUGCGAAAGCGUCGAACAAGGACGUUCUCAUUA